UGGGGAAUAUUGGACAAUGGGCGAAAGCCUGAUCCAGCCAUGCCGCGUGUGUGAAGAAGGUCUUCGGAUUGUAAAGCACUUUAAGUUGGGAGGAAGGGCAUUAACCUAAUACGUUAGUGUUUUGACGUUACCGACAGAACAAGCACCGGCUAACUCUGUGCCAGCAGCCGCGGUAAUACAGAGGUUGCAAGCGUUAAUCGGAAUUACUGGGCGUAAAGCGCGCGUAGGUGGUUUGUUAAGUUGGAUGUGAAAUCCCCGGGCUCAACCUGGGAACUGCAUUCAAAACUGACUGACUAGAGUAUGGUAGAGGGUGGUGGAAUUUCCUGUGUAGCGGUGAAAUGCGUAGAUAUAGGAAGGAACACCAGUGGCGAAGGCGACCACCUGGACUAAUACUGACACUGAGGUGCGAAAGCGUGGGGAGCAAACA
rnacentral:rRNA from 1 species